UAGAGGGUCCCUCACGCCACUUGUAAAAUA
rnacentral:piRNA from 1 species